rnacentral:rRNA from 1 species
AUGCAAGUCGAACGGAAUUUGAGAGCUUGCUCUUAAAUUUAGUGGCGCACGGGUGAGUAACGCGUAGAUAAUCUGCCUGACGAUCUGGGAUAACACUUCGAAAGAGGUGCUAAUACCGGAUAAGCCCACGGGGUCUUUGGAUUCUGCGGGAAAAGGGGGGGACCUUCGGGCCUUCUGUCGUCAGAUGAGUCUGCGUACCAUUAGCUAGUUGGUAGGGUAAAGGCCUACCAAGGCAACGAUCAGUAGCCGGCCUGAGAGGGUGAUCGGCCACACUGGAACUGAGACACGGUCCAGACUCCUACGGGAGGCAGCAGUGGGGAAUUUUGCGCAAUGGGCGAAAGCCUGACGCAGCAACGCCGCGUGGGUGAUGAAGGUCUUCGGAUCGUAAAACCCUGUCGUCAGGGACGAAGGUUAGUCGUUGAAUAGGCGAUUGACUUGACGGUACCUGGAGAGGAAGCCCCGGCUAACUCUGUGCCAGCAGCCGCGGUAAUACAGAGGGGGCAAGCGUUAUUCGGAAUUAUUGGGCGUAAAGGGCGCGUAGGCGGUUUUUUAAGUGAGAUGUGCAAUCCCCGAGCUUAACUUGGGAACUGCAUCUCAGACUGGAAGGCUAGAGUGCUGGAGAGGGUGGUAGAAUUCCACGUGUAGCGGUGAAAUGCGUAGAGAUGUGGAGGAAUACCAGUGGCGAAGGCGGCCACCUGGACAGUAACUGACGCUGAGGCGCGAAAGUGUGG